ACCGAAGCAACUUAGUGGCGGACGGGUGAGUAACGCGUGGGUAACCUACCCUUAUCAGGGGGAUAACAGUCGGAAACGACUGCUAAUACCGCAUAAGCGCACAGUAUCGCAUGAUACAGUGUGAAAAACUCCGGUGGAUAAGGAUGGACCCGCGUCUGAUUAGCUAGUUGGGUGAGGUAACGGCCCACCAAGGCGACGAUCAGUAGCCGGCCUUAACGGGUGAACGGCCACAUUGGGACUGAGACACGGCCCAAACUCCUACGGGAGGCAGCAGUGGGGAAUAUUGCACAAUGGGGGAAACCCUGAUGCAGCCGACGCCGCGUGAAGGAUGAAGUAUUUCGGUAUGUAAACUUCUAUCAGCAGGGAAGAUAGUGACGGUACCUGACUAAGAAGCUCCGGCUAAAUACGUGCCAGCAGCAGC
rnacentral:rRNA from 1 species